GCAGUAGCCGCGGGAAUACGUAGGGUGCGAGCGUUAAUCGGAAUUACUGGGCGUAAAGCGUGCGCAGGCGGUUAUAUAAGACAGAUGUGAAAUCCCCGGGCUCAACCUGGGACCUGCAUUUGUGACUGUAUAGCUAGAGUACGGUAGAGGGGGAUGGAAUUCCGCGUGUAGCAGUGAAAUGCGUAGAUAUGCGGAGGAACACCGAUGGCGAAGGCAAUCCCCUGGACCUGUACUGACGCUCAUGCACGAAAGCGUGGGGAGCAAACAGGAUUAGAUACCCCAGUAGUCCCUGUCUCUUAUAC
rnacentral:rRNA from 1 species